rnacentral:rRNA from 1 species
GACGAGCGCUGGCGGCGUGCCUAAUACAUGCAAGUCGAGCGGACCAAACAGGAGCUUGCUCUUGUUUGGUUAGCGGCGGACGGGUGAGUAACACGUGGGUAACCUGCCCGUAAGACCGGGAUAACUCCGGGAAACCGGAGCUAAUACCGGAUAACACCGAAGACCGCAUGGUCUUUGGUUGAAAGGCGGCUUCGGCUGCCACUUACGGAUGGGCCCGCGGCGCAUUAGCUAGUUGGUGAGGUAACGGCUCACCAAGGCGACGAUGCGUAGCCGGCCUGAGAGGGUGACCGGCCACACUGGGACUGAGACACGGCCCAGACUCCUACGGGAGGCAGCAGUAGGGAAUCUUCCGCAAUGGACGAAAGUCUGACGGAGCGACGCCGCGUGAGCGAAGAAGGGCUUCGGAUCGGAAAGCUCUGUUGUUAGGGAAGAAGAAGCGCCGUUCGAACAGGGCGGCGCGGUGACGGUACCUAACGAGAAAGCCCCGGCUAACUACGUG